rnacentral:rRNA from 1 species
UACGUAGGGGGCAAGCGUUGUCCGGAAUCAUUGGGCGUAAAGAGCGUGUAGGCGGCCCGGUAAGUCCGCUGUGAAAGUCCAGGGCUCAACCCUGGGAUGCCGGUGGAUACUGUCGGGCUCGAGUCCGGAAGAGGAGUGUGGAAUUCCUGGUGUAGCGGUGAAAUGCGCAGAUAUCAGGAGGAACACCGGUGGCGAAGGCGGCUCUCUGGACCACAACUGACGCUGGGGCGCGAAAGCUAGGGGAGCAAACAGG